CGAUGGAGGGGGAUAACUACUGGAAACGGUAGCUAAUACCGCAUAACGUCGCAAGACCAAAGAGGGGGACCUUCGGGCCUCUGCCAUCGGAUGUGCCCAGAUGGGAUUAGCUAGUAGGUGGGGUAACGGCUCACCUAGGCGACGAUCCCUAGCUGGUCUGAGAGGAUGACCAGCCACACUGGAACUGAGACACGGUCCAG
rnacentral:rRNA from 1 species